rnacentral:snRNA from 1 species
GUGCUCACUUCAGCAGCAUUGACUCUAAAGCUGGAGUCAGCAGAGAAGAUUUGCACGGCCCCUGAGGACGGCAUGCACGUUUGUGAGGCACAUUCCAUGAUU